GACGUAGGGUCCAAGCGUUGUCCGGAUUUACUGGGCGUAAAGAGCGCGUAGGCGGUCUGUUAAGUGUGAAGUGAAAUCUCCAGGGCUCAACCCGGAAACUGCUUCGCAUACUGGCAGACUUGAGGAAUGCAGAGGUUUGUGGAAUUCCUGGUGUAGCGGUGAAAUGCGUUGAUAUCAGGAGGAACACCCAUGGCGAAGGCAGGUCUCUGGGCCGCAACUGACGCUGAGGAGCGAAAGCGUGGGGAGCAAACAGG
rnacentral:rRNA from 1 species